UACGGAGGGUGCGAGCGUUGUCCGGAAUCACUGGGCGUAAAGGGCGCGUAGGCGGCAUGCCAAGCGUGUGGUGAAAGCCCGGGGCUCAACCCCGGGUCGGCCGUGCGGACUGGCGUGCUCGAGCACUGUAGGGGCGGGUGGAAUUCCGGGUGUAGCGGUGGAAUGCGUAGAGAUCCGGAAGAACACCGGUGGCGAAGGCGGCGACCUGGGUAGAUACUGACGCUGAGGUGCGAAAGCGUGGGGAGCAAACAGG
rnacentral:rRNA from 1 species